rnacentral:siRNA from 1 species
CGAACAUCCUGAACCUGAACCGC